UACGAACUGUGCAAACGUUAUUCGGAAUCACUGGGCUUACAGGGUGCGUAGGCGGCCUGUUAAGUAGGGUGUGAAAGCCCCCGGCUCAACCGGGGAAUGGCGCCCUAAACUGGCGGGCUGGAGUGAGAUAGGGGUGUGCGGAACUUCCGGUGGAGCGGUGAAAUGUGUUGAUAUCGGAAGGAACGCCGGUGGCGAAAGCGGCACACUGGAUCUCAACUGACGCUGAGGCACGAAAGCCAGGGGAGCGAACGGG
rnacentral:rRNA from 2 species